CCUCUGGUGGCGUAGGGGUAACGCGCCCUAACUAGAGAUCAGGGACUCGUGAGUUCAAUUCUCACCGAGAAGA
rnacentral:tRNA from 1 species